AGCUCCGCAAGUGUAUUCCUAUACUGCUGCGUUUAAAUAGCUCGUAGUUGGAUCUGCGUGCCUAGCGUACGGUGCAGUCUUUGGCUGUUACUGUCACGCGGCACAUUAUGAUGGUGCGCUGGCGAUGCUCUCUCAACGGGGUGUCGUUCAGUUGCCAUCGAGUUUACUUUGAAUAAAUCAGAGUGCUCAAAACGGGCGUUUCGCUCGUAUGUUCUUGCAUGGAAUAAUAGAAUAGGAUUGUGCGUCCUAUUUUGUUGGUUUUCGGGACCACGAUAAUGAUUGAGAGGGACAGACGGGGGCAUUUGUACUGCGACGUGAGAGGUGAAAUUCUUGGAUCGUCGCAAGACAAACUACUGCGAAAGCAUUUGCCAAGAAUGUUUUCAUUAAUCAAGAACGAAAG
rnacentral:rRNA from 1 species